rnacentral:rRNA from 1 species
UACGAAGGUGGCAAGCGUUACUCGGAAUUACUAGGCGUAAAGGGCAGGUAGGCGGUUCGGUUAGUCUGUUGUGAAAGCUCCUUGCUUAACGGGGAGAGGCCAACAGAUACUGCCGAGCUUGAGUAUAGGAGAGGGUACUGGAAUUCCCGGUGUAGCGGUGAAAUGCGCGGAGAUCGGGAGGAACACCAAUGGCGAAAGCAGGUACCUGGACUAUUACUGACGCUCAGCUGCGAAAGCUAGGGGAGCAAACAGG